AUAUAUAUAUGGUACCAGAAAUUCGGAAAGAUAUGAUAUUCGAUCGAAGUGUUGAUGCAUAUUCUUUCGGUAUUAUGCUAUAUGAGAUGACUGAAGGGGGAGUGCCUUUCCGAUCUAAGCCUGCAGAAGAGGCGGUGAAAUUGAUGUGUUUCGAACAACAGAGACCGCCACUCGAGACCAAAUCGAAAAGUUACCCUCCGGAAUAAAGAGAGCUUAUUGCAGAAUGCUGGGAUCCAGAACCUCUAGUAAGACCGACUUUUUCGGAAAUCAUCGUACGAUUAGACUAAAUAGUUUCAGGUUGCACGAAACAAGGGUGGUGGAAAGACACUUUCAAGCUUCCUUGGAAAUAAGGGGAAGG